rnacentral:snRNA from 1 species
CACCAUUCCAGGGGGUCAUUAAGGCCACGAUCAUUAAGGUGGUUCACCCAGGGCGAGGCUUGGCUAUGCGAAUUCCCCAAAUGUGAGAAUCUUGACUGCAAAAUUUCUGGUAGUGGGGGACUGCGUAUGCACUCUCCCCUG